rnacentral:rRNA from 1 species
AUGUCUUCGCCUCAUCCCGUUUCCAGGCACCGACGACGUUUUACUGGCUCCCACUAUGAUAAGCCAUCCGUUGGCAUAUGUCGUACCUACCACCCGACAUUUGGCGCCCACCGUGGGGCCAGGUGCACCGUCGUCCGGAGACCUGUUCUGGACGGGAACCCUUUUUUCCCCCGCGAGCGCAGCCUGCCUGCUAUGCCCGACGGCGCUUGCCCCGACGCGCUGCAAGGCGUCGACGACGCGUGCGCGGCAAGCUGCCUCACCGAUCUUCUUGGCGAGACUCGCAUCUCCGACGAGCCCGCGUCCGACGCGGGCACGGACUACCCCGAGAGCCGCCUCAUCAGCCUCCUCGACCAGCUUCACGUCUUCAGCGAGCUUGCUGUAGACUUGGAGUCGGUCGGCUCCACCGACCUGAUGCUUGUCGACUCCGACACGGCAUCGUUCGACGCCUACCCCUCCGACGUGGUAGUCUUCGACGACCCUCUCCCUCGAGCUGACAGCGGCAGCAGCGCUGUCACUGAGGUGCUGGUCAUCAGCCACGUCGCCGACUCGGGCGAGAGCGCCCACGACGCACUACAAGCGGCGAUGCAUGACCUAUCCGUCCCCAUCCCGGCCGAUGCCGACGCCGAGACCCUGGAGGCACGUCGUCUCGCCCUCAUCGCCGAGAGCCAGAAGAUAGCCUCCAUGAGACGCCUCACUGAGGCCCACCAGCGCGAAGUCGACCGCUCCGCUUUUGGUACGCCGCCUCACGGCGGGCCGAGCCGAGUCAGCCUCGUCAAGAAGCACGACGCGGCCAUCGCCAGCAUGCUGGGGGCGGACCGCCCGGUCUACGCCACACCGCUCGAGAAUCUGCGAGCCGCUCAGGCGGCAGCAGAAGAGCUGAACGGGCUGGGGGCUGAUGAGCUCCCCUACAUGACAAGACGUAUCCAGCAGCUGAUCGAUGCGGCCGCAGAACGGCAUGAAGCCGGCGCCCGCGCUGAGAGUCCUCCCCCGCGCCGAGAGCACGCCGCGACAUCCCGGUCGCCGACUGCGAGCGGCGCCCGCGCAAGGAAGGACAAGGAGUCGGCUGCUAGCCGCAGCCGGAGUCGAAUCACCAUCGAGCGCGGCGCGGAAGGCCGCUCUCGGGCGGUGGAGCGCCAGGGCAAUCCGCCUCCUCCCCCGCCUCGUGGAAAGAGAUGUCCCACCCAGCCGCCUGUCACGCAUCCGACUCUCGGUGGCCGACUAGGCCGCCGCGAGGGAGUCGACGAGAACGACGCCCGCCACCGGAUCGACCGCCUAGCUCGAUCCCUGGAGCUAGAAGAAGACGAUGUCGGCCCGCCAUGCUUUGGCCCCCGCAUCCGCGACGAGCCCUUCCCCAAAGGGUUCUCGCUCCCCAGAGACACGUCCAAGUACAACGGCUCUGUGAAGCCGGAAGAUUGGCUCAUCGACUACUCUACCGUCGUCAGUAUAACGAACGGCAACAGGCGCGUAGCCGUGAAGUACGUCCCUCUCAUGCUGCAAGGCACGGCACGCACCUGGCUCAACAGCCUCAAGCCCUACAGCGUCAACAACUGGCUGGACUUCACGGAAGUCUUCGUCCGCAACUUCACCAGCACGUACAAGCGGCCUCCCAAGCCCCGCCAGCUCUCCCUAUGCGUCCAAGGGCCCAGCGAGUCGACCCGCGACUACCUCAUGCGGUGGGCCGAGCUCCGCAACUCCUGCGAGGGGGUGCACGAGGUUCAAGCUAUCGAGUACUUCACCGUCGGGUGCCGAGAGGGCACCGUCCUCAAGCACCGACUCCUCUGCGAUGAGCCGGCUACCCUCGACGAACUGCUGGUCAUUGCGGACAAGUACGCCACAGCCGACUCCUCGAUAAAGACCGAGCUCCGAGUGGACGCCUCUAGGAAGGUGCUCGCUCCGGCUCCUAAGACGCCGGCUGGCGACUCCAACCGGCGCCCCUACCAGAACGACCACAAGCACAAGGCCCCUAUGUCGCCUUCCACCAGUCGGCAGAUGGCCACAGUCGAAGACGAGUAG